CCACUUCUGUGUCACUUACCAGUUCUUCCACUGGAAGAAGGGGACGCCAUUUGCAGAAGACCAGGGGAUCUAUAAUGGGCUAACUUGGUGGGAACAGGUAGACAAUGGGAAGCAACUUACACGCAACAGAAAGUUCCUAACCGUUGUUCCUGUGGUGCUGUACUUGAUAGCCUCACACACGACCGACUAUCAACAUCCAAUGCUCUUCUUCAA
rnacentral:misc_RNA from 1 species